UAUAAAAGAAGAAUGAUACAGAGAAGAUCAGCAUGGUCCCUGAGCAAAGAUGAUACAUGAAUUCAUGAAGCUUUCCAUAUUUUU
rnacentral:snRNA from 1 species